rnacentral:rRNA from 1 species
UACAGAGGGGGCUAGCGUUGUUCGGAAUUACUGGGCGUAAAGGGCGCGUAGGUGGCCUGUUAAGUCGAACGUGAAAUCCCCGGGCUCAACCCGGGAACUGCGUCCGAGACUGGCAGGCUCGAAUCCGGGAGAGGGAUGUGGAAUUCCAGGUGUAGCGGUGGAAUGCGUAGAGAUCGGGAAGAACACCCGUGGCGAAAGCGGCUACUCUCGGAACGGUACUGACGCUGAGACGCGAAAGCGUGGGGAGCGAAC